rnacentral:rRNA from 1 species
AGAGUUUGAUCCUGGCUCAGAUUGAACGCUGGCGGCAGGCUUAACACAUGCAAGUCGAGCGGAGAUGAGGUGCUUGCACCUUAUCUUAGCGGCGGACGGGUGAGUAAUGCUUAGGAAUCUGCCUAUUAGUGGGGGACAACAUUCCGAAAGGAAUGCUAAUACCGCAUACGUCCUACGGGAGAAAGCAGGGGAUCUUCGGACCUUGCGCUAAUAGAUGAGCCUAAGUCGGAUUAGCUAGUUGGUGGGGUAAAGGCCUACCAAGGCGACGAUCUGUAGCGGGUCUGAGAGGAUGAUCCGCCACACUGGGACUGAGACACGGCCCAGACUCCUACGGGAGGCAGCAGUGGGGAAUAUUGGACAAUGGGGGGAACCCUGAUCCAGCCAUGCCGCGUGUGUGAAGAAGGCCUUAUGGUUGUAAAGCACUUUAAGCGAGGAGGAGGCUACUGAGACUAAUACUCUUGGAUAGUGGACGUUACUCGCAGAAUAAGCACCGGCUAACUCUGUGCCAGCAGCCGCGGUAAUACAGAGGGUGCGAGCGUUAAUCGGAUUUACUGGGCGUAAAGCGUGCGUAGGCGGCUUUUUAAGUCGGAUGUGAAAUCCCCGAGCUUAACUUGGGAAUUGCAUUCGAUACUGGGAAGCUAGAGUAUGGGAGAGGAUGGUAGAAUUCCAGGUGUAGCGGUGAAAUGCGUAGAGAUCUGGAGGAAUACCGAUGGCGAAGGCAGCCAUCUGGCAUAAUACUGACGCUGAGG